rnacentral:misc_RNA from 1 species
AUGAACUCGAAGAAGGUGAGCAGAAGGCCCCCCGGAGUGGCGGGCCUGGCGGGACAGGCGAGCGACGAGCAGCAUCACAGCUCCUAACGGCGACAACGCCACGCAUCCCACGCCACUGGCACCACCUCCAUCACCACCACGGUUUGCAACAACAGCCCCGCGAUUUGCCACGCCACUGAGCGACUGCCGCGGCAGAAGCAAAGAGCGAAGAGAGGGACUGGAGGGAAGAAGGGGGUGAAUGAAGAAAGGGAAGUACAGCGAGGGAAGGUGGGGUGAGUGCAGACGCUUGGCUCACGUGUGCUCAGCCUGUCUUUCUCUCCAGCGCUCGGGUGUGGAGCAGUAGCUGGCUCGACUCCUCCCGGGUCAGCUGCUGCUGUUGUCCUCUCUUGUGUGACGGGCUCGUGUGAACUAGAGACUGGGGUGGACUACAAACAACAAUAACAACAGGAAAACUGAGUUCUCCGGCAACUACUCCGCAACAAUAAUCGGAAAGAAGUUUUGUUUACAUAUCAGAAGUAAAAACAACAACAAAAACAAAAAGGAAAGUGAAUCAGCUGUUGGGUGUUGACAAGUGAGAUCAUGUGCGAAUCGAACUCCUCGUGAGAGAGAGCGACCGUCGUUGGUGAUCGUUGGGGAAGUUAGUGAAGAGAGCCCUUUAGCAGGUGGGAAGAACUGCUUUAAAAGUUUUAUUUGACAAAGUCUUGUUACCAUGGGGACGUCGGUCUGAGGACCCGCAACACAAGAGAGAGAGAUCAGCGUGUGGCGCGUGCACCACAUCCCUUCUCUCCUGACCGCCCGUGUACCGGGACAUGGAAGAAGGCGACAUGGUGGCAAAAGGAAAAAGCGAGGGUCCCCCAUUGCAAGGACUGGCACAAGCAGUCAACCCUACACCUGGCGAUGGCUCCACUGCUCAGACGCGCCGCAUGCCCCACCUGCACAAGCUGGAAAAGAAGCUGAGUAGCAGUGAUCUUCACAGUCGCCUCAAGACGCGGAAAGUGCUCGGCGUCGGAGAAACAGACGAUGGUGACGUACACAGGUCAAAGUUGAGUCAGAUUCUGGGGCACAGUGACCAGCUGUACAUUCGUCUCCCCUGGGGUCUGAGGACCUGGCAACUCGUCCUCGCUGUCACAUUUACAGUUGUCUCCCUCUGGGCGUUGGUGCUGCCCUCGCAUUUAUUCGACAUAACAUUUGAAACAGAGGAGGGCCAGUAUGUGACAUUACCCGUGCGCCUGUAUGGUGCCGCCUUGCUGGCUCUCGCCAUCUUUCACUGGAACUGCCUGUACGCCACUGACCGUGACGUCAUCCGCAUGUCCCUCCUGUCCAGCGCUGUGUACUUCACCUUACAGACUGCAGUGGCGGUGCUGUCCAGUGUCCACAUGCGUGAGAUCGUGCCUGUCGGGGGCAUGCUGUGUCACGUGAUACGUCUGGGGGCGGCGGGGCUCAGCGGUCUUCUGUACUGGAUUCUCUGUCGUGACGGCCGCCAUUACAUGUUCCGCUGAGGGCCUUGGCCCCCACACUCUACCGACGACCCCCCGCCCCGCCGCCACAAGCUUGUGACCUUUACUUACCUAGGAUGUAUUCAUUACUUUACAAUUUCGAGUUUUCGAGAACGCGGCGCGCAGUGAAGCUGAAGAUCCAAGAGGGGAGAGAAUCUUUUGUGAUGUAUUAUUGUUUUUUUUUUUUUUGCACUGCUUCUUCAGUUUUGUGAGACUUGCACUCCACCAUUGGUUAAAUACUCGUUUCCCGUACUUUAAUAAUGCCUUUAUAUCCUAUGUACUAUAUUAUGUUAAGUAUAUUGUGUUUGUACUCUACUACUGGUUCAGUAUAUGAGGUCUCUACUGUAUGCUUAGUAUGGCUGUACUACACUCCUGGUGUCUGUUAUAUUCCUGUAUGUCGUGUUUGUACUGUACUGCUAGAUGAUAGUGUGUUGUCUGUAUUGUACUGUUGGAAUAGUAUUGCCGAGCAUGCGGUAUUCGUACUAAAAGUUGAGUAUUUUUUGUUCUUCCUAUACUCCAGGUUUAUUUAGUGUCUGUACUGUACUAGUGGACAUUAGGUGUCUGUAAUGUAUUGCCUUUACUCUCUGGUGCCUUGACCAAAUUCCUCGUUCGUUGUAUGGAGCUUAUCCUUGUACAGUAUGUGAUGCAUGGUCUGUAUACAGUCCUGUUCACAUCCUCCUACAGCCUUAGUUGUUGGCACGACAUAAAACUCAAACCAACCAAACCUGUUGACAAAAGUUUUUUUUCUGUUUGAUAGUCAGUCGUGUAAUAUUCCGUACUGCCAACAGGCAUUGCAGCGUUUUUAUUAUGCAAGCAGCAACCCAUCCCUGUUAUCCAAAGUGUAGGCAGCCGCAACGAUAAGAUGCCAGGCAUUGCAACGGUUUCAUUACGUAAGCAGCAGCUUAUUUCUUUUCUCUGAAGAUAAGGCAUCGAUAAGGAGCGUUGACGCACAUGCGCCGACUUCCUGUUGUAGUCCAUGACCGUUCUUUGGGACAACACCACCGAUCACUUGUCCAGCCAAAUUUUGUCCCUCCUGGACACUCGGCAUCCAUCUGUGUCCUUUUAGACCCUUCAGCAUCUGCAUUCAUUGUUUCCUUAACUGAUGUUAGUAGUAAAAACAGCUUUUUUCUUCUCCCACGAUGGCUUAAAUAUUUUGGAUAACCAUUUUAAUUUUCGUUAAAAACUUUUGACCGUAUCACAAAACUUGCUCUAAAGAGCCGGCAGUCUUUCAAGAACACCGGUUAUUGAGCAAGGAACUCGCACAGUGGAUGUUGACUCGUUUGAACCUGUUUUUAUUUAUGCAUGCUGUGCACAAUUAGUAAAUGUUUUGUUUUGUCAUGUGUUCUAUGUUCUGUGUAAUGUAGAGAGCAUGACUUCUUUGUGAAAUGACUCCCCACAAUGAUGUUCUUUCAUUGUUUAGUGCAGUAAUUAACUGCUCUGAUGUCAGGCCAGGUUACCUCUCAACACUUGUUUAUUUAUUUAAUUGUAAUACAUCCAAUUGUCUCGUUAGUGUUAAGAAAAUCAUGCCCACAGACAGACUGUUAGAAAGUGUCAUUUUACUAGCUCCAUCGAUAAAAAGAUAUUGGAAUUUUAUUCAGAAAUGGAAUUUAUGUUUUCUUUACUAUAGGGAAAUUUUUAUAUGACAUUCUUAUCACUGAUUUCUUCAUCACUGACAUUGCUAAAAAAUAAAAUAAUCCAAUUCAU